AUGAACGAGGGUUCAAUUCUUAUUUUUUCUCUACUUUUUCUAUGUAGAUUUUCCUCUGCUGCAAUUGACAUUGCUAUUUAUUAUUCUUGUUUUUCUGCAAAAAAAGAUGAACAAAAUUUGUACAGAUUGUACUAUAUUAGAUUUUAUGUUUUUGAGAUUAGAGUUUAUGUAAUUGAUAAAAAAUUAGUGCUUUUUGUAAAAACUUGGUUUUGCAGGUGGUGUGAAUUUUAA